AUACGGAAGGUCCGGGCGUUAUCCGGAUUUAUUGGGUUUAAAGGGUGCGCAGGCGGCCAUUUAAGUCAGCGGUUAAAUCGUGGGGCUCAACCCCAUUCUGCCGUUGAUACUGGGUGGCUUGAUUGCGGUCGAGGUUGGCGGAAUUCCUAGUGUAGCGGUGAAAUGCGUAGAUAUUAGGAGGAACACCAGUGGCGAAGGCGGCCUGCUGGACGACAACUGACGCUGAGGCGCGAAAGCGUGGGGAGCAAACAGGAUUAGAUACCCUGGUAGUCCACGCUGUAAACGAUGAAUACUAGGUGUGGGGGGACUGACCCCCUCCGCGCCGCAGUUAACACAAUAAGUAUUCCACCUGGGGAGUACGAUCGCAAGAUUGAAACUCAAAUGAAUUGGCGGGG
rnacentral:rRNA from 1 species